rnacentral:rRNA from 1 species
GACGAACGCUGGCGGCGUGCUUAACACAUGCUAGUCGAACGGAAAGGCCCUGCUUUUGUGGGGUGCUCGAGUGGCGAACGGGUGAGUAACACGUGAGUAACCUGCCCUUGACUUUGGGAUAACUUCAGGAAACUGGGGCUAAUACCGGAUAGUAGCUCCUGCUGCAUGGUGGGGGUUGGAAAGUUUCGGCGGUUGGGGAUGGACUCGCGGCUUAUCAGCUUGUUGGUGGGGUAGUGGCUUACCAAGGCUUUGACGGGUAGCCGGCCUGAGAGGGUGACCGGCCACAUUGGGACUGAGAUACGGCCCAGACUCCUACGGGAGGCAGCAGUGGGGAAUAUUGCACAAUGGGCGGAAGCCUGAUGCAGCAACGCCGCGUGCGGGAUGACGGCCUUCGGGUUGUAAACCGCUUUCGCCUGUGACGAAGCGUGAGUGACGGUAAUGGGUAAAGAAGCACCGGCUAACUACGUG